GACGAACGCUGGCGGCGUGCUUAACACAUGCAAGUCGAACGGAAAGGCCCUGCUUUUGUGGGGUGCUCGAGUGGCGAACGGGUGAGUAACACGUGAGUAACCUGCCCUUGACUUUGGGAUAACUUCAGGAAACUGGGGCUAAUACCGGAUAGGAGCUCCUGCUGCAUGGGGGGGGUUGGAAAGUUUCGGCGGUUGGGGAUGGACUCGCGGCUUAUCAGCUUGUUGGGGGGGUAGGGGCUUCCCAGGGCUUUGACGGGUAGCCGGCAUGAGAGGGUGCCCGGCCACAUUGGGACUGAGAUACGGCCCAGACUCCUACGGGAGGCAGCAGUGGGGAAUAUUGCACAAUGGGCGGAAGCCUGAUGCAGCAACGCCGCGUGCGGGAUGACGGCCUUCGGGUUGUAAACCGCUUUCGCCUGUGACGAAGCGUGAGUGACGGUACUGGGUAAAGAAGCACCGGCUAACUACGUG
rnacentral:rRNA from 1 species